rnacentral:rRNA from 1 species
AGAACCUUACCUGGGCUUGACAUGUUCCUGACCGCCGUGGAAACACGGUUUCCCUUCGGGGCACUUUCACAGGUGGUGCAUGGCUGUCGUCAGCUCGUGUCGUGAGAUGUUGGGUUAAGUCCCGCAACGAGCGCAACCCCCGUCGUAUGUUGCCAGCAUUUAGUUGGGGACUCAUGCGAGACCGCCGGUGACAAACCGGAGGAAGGUGGGGAUGACGUCAAGUCAUCAUGCCCCUUAUGCCCAGGGCUACACACGUGCUACAUUGGCGCGUACAGAGGGCUGCAAGACCGUGAGGUGGAGCGAAUCCCUCAAAGCGCGUCUCGGUUCGGAUUGGAGGCUGAAACUCGCCUCCAUGAAGGCGGAGUUGCUAGUAAUCGCGGAUCAGCAUCGCCGCGGUGAAUACGUUCCCGGGCCUUGUCACACCGA